UGUCGAUGAUGAUAUCCUGUAAGGCUUGUUUCUCAAAACAUUCGCAGUGGCCGCCCAAGAGCUUUCGCCUUCGCCAGGCUCGAGAGCUAAUGCUGUUUAUAUCCUUCCUUGGAUGUCUGAGCUU